AGUCAUGUUGUAAGUACAAAGCGAACUAUUCUUUCGCCUUUUACUAAAGUAUACCGUGUACUUGCUACUUUAAGUGACAUUCCUCUAUUUUUAGGAGGUGACCUUCCAUUGGAAAGUCC
rnacentral:snRNA from 1 species